UCCGUUUUGUCAACGGCAGUCUCAACAGAGUUCCCGGCCGAACCGCUGGCAACUGUUGAUAAGGGUUGCGCUCGUUGCGGGACUUAACUCAACAUCUCACGACACGAGCUGACGACAGCCAUGCAGCACCUUGCACUCUGCCUGGUUUUACCCAGGAGGCCCGAUCUCUCGGGUUGUCAGAGGCAUUCUAGCCCAGGUAAGGUUCUUCGCGUUGCGUCGAAUUACACCACAUGCUCCACCGCUUGUGCGGGUCCCCGCCAAUUCCUUUGAGUUUCAACCUUGCGGUCGUACUUCCCAGGUGGGAUACUUAAUGCUUUCGCUCAGACACCAACAGUGUAUCGCUGAUGUCGAGUAUCCAUAGUUUAGGGCGUGGACUAC
rnacentral:misc_RNA from 1 species